rnacentral:rRNA from 1 species
AUUGAACGCUGGCGGCGGGCUUAACACAUGCAAGUCGAGCGGGGUGAUGGUGCUUGCACUAUCACUUAGCGGCGGACGGGUGAGUAAUGCUUAGGAAUCUGCCUAUUAGUGGGGGACAACAUCUCGAAAGGGAUGCUAAUACCGCAUACGUCCUACGGGAGAAAGCAGGGGAUCACUUGUGACCUUGCGCUAAUAGAUGAGCCUAAGUCGGAUUAGCUAGUUGGUGGGGUAAAGGCCUACCAAGGCGACGAUCUGUAGCGGGCCGGAGAGGACGACCCGCCACACUGGGACUGAGACCCGGCCCAGAAUCCUACGGGAGGCAGCAGUGGGGAAUAAUGGACAAUGGGUGGAACCCUGAUCCAGCCAUGCCGCGUGUGUGAAGAAGGCCUUAUGGUUGUAAAGCACUUUAAGCGAGGAGGAGGCUCUUUUGGUUAAUACCCAAGAUGAGUGGACGUUACUCGCAGAAUAAGCACCGGCUAACUCUGUGCCAGCAGCCGCCGUAA